rnacentral:rRNA from 1 species
AUUGAACGCUGGCGGCAUGCCUUACACAUGCAAGUCGAACGGCAGCAUGGAGAGCUUGCUCUCUGAUGGCGAGUGGCGAACGGGUGAGUAAUGCAUCGGAACGUACCGUGUAAUGGGGGAUAACGUAGCGAAAGUUACGCUAAUACCGCAUACGACCUGAGGUUGAAAGCAGGGGAUCGCAAGACCUUGCGUUAUACGAGCGGCCGAUGUCAGAUUAGCUAGUUGGGGAGGUAAAGGCUCACCAAGGCAACGAUCUGUAGCGGGUCUGAGAGGAUGAUCCGCCACACUGGGACUGAGACACGGCCCAGACUCCUACGGGAGGCAGCAGUGGGGAAUUUUGGACAAUGGGGGCAACCCUGAUCCAGCCAUGCCGCGUGAGUGAAGAAGGCCUUCGGGUUGUAAAGCUCUUUCGGCCGGGAAGAAAUCGCACAGGCUAAUACUCUGUGUGGAUGACGGUACCGGCAUAAGAAGCACCGGCUAACUACGUGCCAGCCGCCGCCGUAA